rnacentral:rRNA from 1 species
UCCUGCCAGUAACAUAUGCUUGCGUAAAGGACUAAGCCAUGCAGGUGUAAGUCUAAGAGGCGCCUCGUGCACACCCUCAAAACUGCGGAUGGCUCAUUACAUCAGUGGCAAUCUACACAGCUAGAUGGAGGCCGUGCCCGUUGCCCUUCGGGGUGGCGAUCAGCACGGUCUCCAACCGAUAGAUGGAUAACUGUGGUAACUCCAUAGCUAAUACAUGACGCGAAGUCCCGUGCCAGAGGGACGCAUUUACCAGUCAUUUCAAGGAUCCCACGCGUGCCCCGCGUAAGAGGAGUCAUGGUAAACAUCUAGCGGACCGCAUCUAAGGCUCGCGGCACGCUACGGCCCCUAACACGGGCAACACGGGCCUAGUGUGUUUCGAGCCGGGCGGCGGGCUGUUCGAGCUUCUGCCCCAUCAGCUAGACGGUAGUUUACAGGACUACCGUGGCUGCCACGGGUAACGGGGAAUUAGGGUUCGAUUCCGGAGAGGGAGCCUGAGAGAUGGCUACCACUUCCAAGGAAGGCAGCAGGCGCGCAAAUUACCCAAUUCCAACUCGGAGAGGUAGUGACAACGCGUAUCGGCACAGUGCAUUCUAUGUACUGCGACCGGAAUGGACCAAAUUCAAACCCAUUGGUGAGUAACGAUUGGAGGAAAAGUCUGGUGCCAGCACCCGCGGUAAUUCCAGCUCCAAUAGUGUAUAUUAAAGUUGUUGCAGUUAAAAAGCUCGUAGUCAGGUUUCAGGGAGGCGCGUGACGCGUGCCGCACAACCCGAGCUCCGCUCGGGGCGGUGCGUGACACCCCGCCACCCAGGUAUCGUCCUCCUCUUGCCAUGAGGGUCCCACUUGUCGGUUGAGCAUUUCACGGGGAUUAGUGGCGGCUUCGGUCGCAACUGUCUCCGGGGGCCCAACCCGGGUGGUGAUCGGUGAGGGGAUCAAGGGCGGUGCCUAAUUCCUCCACUGUCUGAACGGUAAAGCAUGGGAUGACAUCGUAAGACCUCCAGCUCUUGCGUGGGCUGAUGGCGUCGGCCUUGUGUCGGCGUCUAGGCUCACGCGCUUUUUCCCACGGGGCACGGUUUACAUGGGCUUUCCUUACGGGGAGAGCUGGAGGGCGCGACCAAUAGGGAUGGUUGGGGCCAUUCAUAUUCCCACGUUAGAGGUGAAAUUCUUGGAUCGUGGGAGGAUGAACUUCUGCGAAAGCAUUUGGCACGGACGUUCCCAUUGAUCAAGAACGAAAGUCAGGGGAUCGAAGACGAUCAGAUACCGUCGUAGUCCUGACCAUAAACGAUGCCGACCAGGGAUCAGG